AAAAUGUCCACGUGACAGAUGCCAACCCUGAAUCAAAUGAAAGCGGAGUCAUGUCUUGCUAAAAGCAAUUCCCGAGCCCUGAAGGUGCGAGUUGUGGGUGAGCGUGAGAGGGGGCUCGGGACCCUUA